GAUGAACGCUAGCUACAGGCUUAACACAUGCGAGUCGAGGGGAAACGACAUCGAAAGCUUGCUUUUGAUGGGCGUCGACCGGCGCACGGGUGAGUAACGCGUAUCCAACCUGCCCACCACUUGGGGAUAACCUUGCGAAAGUAAGACUAAUACCCAAUGAUAUCCCACGAAGACAUCUGAAUGGGAUUAAAGAUUUAUCGGUGAUGGAUGGGGAUGCGUCUGAUUAGCUUGUUGGCGGGGUAACGGCCCACCAAGGCAACGAUCAGUAGGGGUUCUGAGAGGAAGGUCCCCCACAUUGGAACUGAGACACGGUCCAAACUCCUACGGGAGGCAGCAGUGAGGAAUAUUGGGCAAUGGGCGAGAGCCUGAACCAGCCAAGUAGCGUGCAGGAAGACGGCCCUAUGGGUUGUAAACUGCUUUUAUAAGGGAAUAAAGUGGGUCACGUGUGACUUUUUGCAUGUACCUUAUGAAUAAGGACCGGCUAAUUCCGUG
rnacentral:rRNA from 1 species